GAUGAACGCUGGCGGCGUGCCUAAUACAUGCAAGUCGAGCGAACGGACGAGAAGCCUGCUUCUCUGAUGUUAGCGGCGGACGGGUGAGUAACACGUGGAUAACCUACCUAUAAGACUGGGAUAACUUCGGGAAACCGGAGCUAAUACCGGAUAAUAUUUUGAACCGCAUGGUUCAAAAGUGAAAGACGGUCUUGCUGUCACUUAUAGAUGGAUCCGCGCUGCAUUAGCUAGUUGGUAAGGUAACGGCUUACCAAGGCAACGAUGCAUAGCCGACCUGAGAGGGUGAUCGGCCGCACUGGAACUGAGACACGGUCCAGACUCCUACGGGAGGCAGCAGUAGGGAAUCUUCCGCAAUGGGCGAAAGCCUGACGGAGCAACGCCGCGUGAGUGAUGAAGGUCUUCGGAUCGUAAAACUCUGUUAUUAGGGAAGAACAUAUGUGUAAGUAACUGUGCACAUCUUAACGGUACCUAAUCAGAAAGCCACGGCUAACUACGUG
rnacentral:rRNA from 1 species